rnacentral:rRNA from 1 species
AUUGAACGCUGGCGGCAGGCUUAACACAUGCAAGUCGAGCGGAGUGAUGGCGCUUGCACUAUCACUUAGCGGCGGACGGGUGAGUAAUGCUUAGGAAUCUGCCUAUUAGUGGGGGACAACAUCUCGAAAGGGAUGCUAAUACCGCAUACGUCCUACGGGAGAAAGCAGGGGAUCACUUGUGACCUUGCGCUAAUAGAUGAGCCUAAGUCGGAUUAGCUAGUUGGUGGGGUAAAGGCCUACCAAGGCGACGAUCUGUAGCGGGUCUGAGAGGAUGAUCCGCACGACUGGGACUGAGACACGGCCCAGACUCCUACGGGAGGCAGCAGUGGGGAAUAUUGGACAGUGGGGGGAACCCUGAUCCAGCCAUGCCGCGUGUGUGAAGAAGGCCUUAUGGUUGUAAAGCACUUUAAGCGAGGAGGAGGCUCUUUUGGUUAAUACCCAAGAUGAGUGGACGUUACUCGCAGAAUAAGCACCGGCUAACUCUGUGCCAGCCGCCGCCGUAA